UCCGUCUUAGUCCCGGUCUGGUCCUGGUCUGGUCUCGGUCCCAAUCACGGGUCUCAGUCCUGGUUUCAGUCGUGGUCUGGUCUCGUUCUCAGUCCUGGUCUGGUCCUAGUCUCAGACCUGGUCUCAGUCCCGGUCUCAAUCACAGUCUGCUCCCGGUCUCAGUCCUGGUCUGAGUCCUGGUCUAAUUCCUGGUUUCAGUCCUGGUCUGGUCUUGGUCUGGUCCCGGUCUCAGUCCUGGUCUCAGUCCCGGUCUGAUCUUGGUCAGGUACCGGUCUCAGUCCUGGUUUGGUCCCGGUCUGAGUCCUGGUCUGGUCCCGGACCUGGUUUAGUCCUGGUUCAGUCCAUUAUCCGUUUCAUUUAAACACAAAAUCGAAAAACUGAAAAAUCGAAUCAUUAUCUGUUUUUUCAUUUUGGUUUUGGAGACAAAUAAUGAAGAAAAUUGUUGUUUUGUUGUUUUUUCAUUUUCUUAUUUUUAGUUUUAUUUUGAAAAAUGAAUGAACGAACGACACACGGAUUUAUUUUAAAAGCAAAAAAAUAUCGUAAUAAACAUCAUACGGUGAGAUUUGGAUAUCGUUACAUCCCGAAUUAUUUAACAGUUUUAUUUUAUUUUGAGUAGUUUUGAUUUAAAAAUGCAUUUGUUGUUAAGUGGAGCAAACUGUUUUGACUGAAAUUAUGUCAUUAUCUAUGUAUUUAUUUAGUGAUAUUUAUCUAUCUUACAUUUUUUUUUUUUUUUUUUCGAUUAUAAGUGUUUUUAUUUUAUUUAAAAAUGGAUUCUUACAGUGAACGGGGUCGCCUCUCCACAGAUCUGACCUCGGACUCGGCCUCGUGCUCGUUUCCAUGAAGAAAAUCGUUUUAUUGUGAUUUGAAAUGUGCAAAUUUUAACAGAAUUAUCCACCGCAGGGCUGCUUUAAUGCCACAUUGCGGAACAUUCCAGGCAAUUCCAGGAUCCAAUAUUUGACAAACUUUCAAACAAGUCAAUUCUCAAAACACUCAGACAAAACUAAACCAGGACCAAAUCAGGACUAAAUCAAGACUAAACUAGAACUAAACUAGUACUAGGACUAAACAAGAUCUAAACAAAGACUUAACCAGAACUAAACCAGAUCUAAACCAGGAUUAAACCGGGAUUAAACUAUAACUAAAUUAGCACUAAAACUAAACCAGGACUUAACAAGGACUGAAAUCAGGAUGUAACCAGAUCUAAACCAGGACUAAACCAAAACUAAACUAGUGCUAAGACUAAACCAAGACUGAAACAGGACUAAACUAAAAGUAAUCGAACACUAGAACUAAACCAGGACUAAACCAGAUUUAAACCAAGACUAAACUAGUGCCAAAACUAUACUAAAUCUAAACCAGGACUAAACCAAGACUAAACUAGAACUAAUCUAGUACUAGGACUAAACUAGGACUAAACCAGAUCUAAACCAAGACCUAACCAAGACUAAACUACAACUAAUCUAGUUCUAGGACUAAAUCAGAUCUAAACAAGGACUAAACAAGAUCUAAACCAGGACUAAACCAGGUCUAAACCAGAUCUAAACCAGGACUAAACCAGAUCUAAACCAAGACUAAACUAGAUCUAAACCAGGAAUAAACUAGAUCUAAACCAGGAAUAAACUAGAUCUAAACCAGGACUAAACCAGGACUAAACCUCAGCCAGACGCAUUAGCCUGUGAACUCGCCGCUGCCAGAUUCUGAUUGGUUCAUUUCUGGUCACAUGACAAAAGUGUAAAAUGACCCAGAUUAGGUCAUUUGAACUGGUUUUUGGUUUUGUCGUCGUCUCGGUCCAAACUCUGGGCUCUUAUCAGUCGAUCCGUGGACCACUGCCCUUUAAACGUGACGUGUUAGCAAACAAAGCUAACCCCCCCGACGGAAACUGUGACGUUAGCAUGAGCUAGCGACGUUUAAAGUGCACACGACGGGUUCUCGGGUUUUUUUAAAUUCCGGUUCGGUUUGGGGUUUUAAAUAUUUAUAGUUUUACGUCACAAAAUCAGGUGUACUUAAAAGACACAAAACUGAGACAAACUAAAUCAUUUCUUUUAUUAGUCUAAACUUAGACCAGUUUUGGCCUUUGUUUACAUUCUGGUUGCUAGGUAACAGUUAUGGAAAUACCUCUACGUAUGUCACAACUGGACUAGGACUGGACUAAACCUGGAUUGAACCAGGACUAAACCAGGAUUUAAUCAGCUCUAAACCAAGACUAAACCAGGACCAAACCAUAUCUAAGUCCGUACUAAACCAGGACUUAACCAGAUCUAAUUUAAGACGAAACCAGGAUUUAUCCAUUACUUAAACAGAUCUAAACCAGGAUAUAACCAGAUCUAAUCCAAAACUAGACCAGAAGUAAACUAGCACUAAGACUAAACCAAAACUGAACCAGGACUAAACCAGGACUAGAGCUGUGGACCUUGUUUACAUUAUAGUUGCUUCUACGUAGUCAAGUAAAAUUAUACAUUUCGCCAAAAAAAAAAAAUAAAACAAAACAAAAUCAAAAUUUCUAAAUCAAAAUUUUCUAAAUUUUUCAGUGAAAUCUUUUAAACCCAUCUUUUUUUUCCCUGUGUUUUGGUGAAAACCAGGACUAAAGUAGGAUUGAACAAAAUCUAAAACAGGAUUAAAACAGGACUUAACCAGAUCUAAACAAGGACUAAACUAGAAUUUAACCAGGAUUUAACCAGAGCUAAUCCAUAAUCUAAUCAGGGCUAAACAAGAUCUAAACCGGGACUAAACUAGGACUAAACCAGGACUUUAAAAAGUGCUAAACUAGGACUAAAUUAGAACUAAACCAGGAUUAAACCUUGAUGUAAGCAGGACUUAACAAGGUCUAAACCAGGAUUUAACCAGAGCUAAACCAGGACUAAACCUGGACUAAACCAGGAAUUAACCAGAGAUAAACUAGAACUAAACAAGGACUAAACCUGGACUAAAGCAGAACUUAACCAAAACUAAGCCAGGACUUAAUCAGAUCUAAACCAGGAUUAAACCAGGACUUAACCAAAACAAAACAAACUAGUCUAAAACUAGUCUGAAACUUUAAACCCAUCUUUUUUUUUCUGUGUUUUGGUGAGACUCGCCCUCACCCGACCCGACUCGUCAUGUGCACUUUAAAUCUUCACUUGUAAUGGAAAAAAAAAAAAAACCACUAAAAAAAUGCCGAGUGGAGAUGUUGUGUUCACGUGGUGUAGGAAAAAACGCUCGUGUCCAGUGAAAAUUGGCGAAAACUCUUUGGAAAACUUUGGUUAAUCCGGUCUGGUUAAAUUCCUGGCGGGUUACGUAAUCCCUCGGCGUUCCCGGGUCCAGGUUUAGCUCGGGAGGAGGAUCUUUUCAUUUGUAUUUGAGGAGCGGCGUUUUGUUUGGAGCCGAGACGCCACAUGGACGAAACCGAGCGCCGUGAAAAAAAAACGAGCGGGUGUUUUCUGCACAUGUGGGUGAAGCUCCGCGCCGAGGGACUCGAACUGGCAACCCUCCAGAGUGUGGGAGAACGCUUAACCACUGUGCCACCGCUGCACUUUGAAAAGGGUUUGGCUGGGCUGAAACAGAACUAAACCAAGAACUAAACCAGGUCUAAAGCAGGUCUAAACCAGAACUAAACCAGGACUAAACCAGGGCUAUACUAAGACUAAAUCAAAACUUAACCAGGACUUAACCAGAGCUAAACCAGAUCUAAAUCUGGACAAAACCAGGACUAAACCCAGACUAAACAAGGGCUAAACAAGAUCUAAACCAAGACUAAACUGGAAACUAAACCAGGACUAAACCAAGAUGUAACUAGGACUGCACGAGGUCUAAACCAGGUCUAAACCAGGACUUAACCAAGAUUUAACAUGGACUUAACUAACAGUAGUUUAACCUGGAUUUAACAAGGACUAAACCAGGACUAAAUGUGGACUCAAGCAGAAUUAAACCAGGACUAAACCAGGACUUAACCAAAUCUAAACCAGGACUUAAUAAAAACUAAGACGGAACCAGGACUAAACUGGGACUUCAACAGAUCUAAACUAGAACUAAACCAGGUCUAAACCAGAGCUAAACUAGAACUAAACUAGGACUAAACCAGGACUAAACCAGGACUUAACCAAAAUUAAGCCAGGACUUAACCAGAUCUAAACCAGGACUAACCCUGGACUAAACCAGAGCUAAACUAGAACUAAACCAAGACUAAACCAAAUCUAAACUAAGAUUUAACAAAAACUAAGCCAGGAUUUAACCAGAUCUAAACUGGGACCAGACCGGUACUUAACCAGAUCUAAACCAGGAUUAAACCAGGACUUAACCAGAUCUAAACUGGGACCAAACCAAGACGUAACCAAAUCUACACCGGGACCAAACUAUGGACUAAACCUGGACUAAAGCAGAACUAAUCUAGGACUAAACCACAAAUUUAAACCAGGACCAAAACUAAGUCAGGACUAAACCAGAUCUAAACCAGGACCAAACCACCAAACUUGACCUGAGUUGAGUUUUGACUUCCACAUUCUCACAUGAGCCGGUUUCUCUUCUGAACUCACCGCAGCCGGAUUCUGAUUGGUCAGUUCUGAUUGGUUGAUUCUGAUUGGUCGAUUUCUGGUCACAUGACGUCCUUCGUGUCGCAGGAAGCACUUUAACGCCGCGUCAGCAGUGUGUCGAAAACGUGUGUGUGUCAAACUGUUUUUGUUGUUGUUUUUGUGUAGAAUGUGAACUGUAAAUGUGUACGUAUGUGUGUAGUACUUGUGUAGUUGUGUACUUGUGUAGUAUUUGAAGUAUUUAAUUGUAUUUAUUGUAGUGUCGGUGUCACCAAAGAUUAUUUAUCACCUGUAAAUAUUCACUGGUCCAAGAGGCGACUGUAGAGUUACUGUCUGAUGUUCUGUUUUAAUGUUGUUCUUGAAUAAAAAAUGAGAAAUAAUCCUGAA